AGAGUUUGAUCCUGGCUCAGGAUUAACGUUGGUAGUAUAUCUAACGAAAGCAAGUCGAACGGCAGCACACUAUUUGGGCAACUAAAUAGGGGUGGCGAGUGGCAAACAGGUGAGUAAUGCUUAUCUAACUUGCCGAUCAGUGGGGGAUAACCAUAGGAAACUAUGGCUAAUACCGCAUUUGUUACUUUUUUGUCAUAAGUAAUGAAAGGGGGCCGCAAGGUUCUCGCUAAUCGAGAGGGAUAAGUCGUAUCAGCCGAUGAAAGUAGGGUAAUGGCCUACUGAGGCAAUGACACGUAGCCGGCCUGAGAGGGUGAACGGCCACCGAGGAACUGAGACAAAGUCCUCCAUUCCUACGGGAGUGAGCAUCGGAGAAUCUUCCGCAAUGGACGCAAGUCUGACGGAGUAAUACUACGUGAAGGAGGAAAUGUAAACUUCUGUUAGUGCGGAAAAAGGGCUGAACAACAGUUCAGUCUUGAUGGUACGCACAGAGAAAGCCACGACUAACUACGUGCCAGCAGUCGCGGUAAGACGUAGGUGGCAAACGUUAUCCGGAAUUAUUGGGCGUAAAGGGUGCGUAGAUUGUCGAAUAAGUUAGUGGUGGGAAAUCGAGGCCUAACCUCGUGGAAACUAUUAAUACUAUCCGACUGGAGGACAGGAGAGGUUGACGGAACUCUUUGUGUAGGGGUAAAAUCCGACGAUAUAAAGAUGAACACCAAUAACGGCGAAGGCAGUUAACUAUUCUGUUCCUGACAUUGAGGCACGAAAGCGUGGGGAGCAAAACGGAUUAGAUACCCUAGUAGUCC
rnacentral:rRNA from 1 species